rnacentral:rRNA from 2 species
GACGUAGGGGGCGAGCGUUAUCCGGAUUCACUGGGCGUAAAGGGCGCGUAGGCGGUUACGCAAGUCGGAUGUGAAAAGUCACGGCUCAACUGUGAUCGUGCAUCCGAUACUGCGUUGACUUGAGGUCGGUAGAGGCAAGUGGAACUAGCGGUGUAGCGGUGAAAUGCGCAGAUAUCGCUAGGAACGCCGGUGGCGAAGGCGAUUUGCUGGGCCGUACCUGACGCUGAUGCGCGAAAGCUAGGGGAGCGAACCGG